AUUGAACGCUGGCGGCAGGCCUAACACAUGCAAGUCGAGCGGAUGAAGGGAGCUUGCUCCUGGAUUCAGCGGCGGACGGGUGAGUAAUGCCUAGGAAUCUGCCUGGUAGUGGGGGAUAACGUCCGGAAACGGGCGCUAAUACCGCAUACGUCCUGAGGGAGAAAGUGGGGGAUCUUCGGACCUCACGCUAUCAGAUGAGCCUAGGUCGGAUUAGCUAGUUGGUGGGGUAAAGGCCUACCAAGGCGACGAUCCGUAACUGGUCUGAGAGGAUGAUCAGUCACACUGGAACUGAGACACGGUCCAGACUCCUACGGGAGGCAGCAGUGGGGAAUAUUGGCCCAUGGGCGCAAGCCUGAUCCCGCCCUGCCGCGUGUGUGAAGAAGGUCUUCGGAUUGUAAAGCACUUUAAGUUGGGAGGAAGGGCAGUAAGUUAAUACCUUGCUGUUUUGACGUUACCCCCAGAAUAAGCACCGGCUCCCUUCGUG
rnacentral:rRNA from 1 species